rnacentral:rRNA from 1 species
GGCGGACGGGUGAGUAACGCGUAAAGAACUUGCCCUUUAGACUGGGAUAACAGAGGGAAACUUCUGAUAAUACUGGAUAAGUUAGUAUAUCGCAUGAUAUGCAAAUGAAAGCUACGGCACUAAAGGAGAGCUUUGCGUCCUAUUAGCUAGUUGGUAAGGUAAGAGCUUACCAAGGCGAUGAUAGGUAGCCGGCCUGAGAGGGUGGACGGCCACAAGGGGACUGAGAUACGGCCCUUACUCCUACGGGAGGCAGCAGCC